UACAGAGGGGCAAGCGUUGUUCGGAAUUACUGGGCGUAAAGGGCGCGUAGGCGGCCUUCUAAGUCGAACGUGAAAUCCCCGGGCUCAACCCGGGAACUGCGUCCGAUACUGGAAGGCUUGAAUCCGGGAGAGGGAUGUGGAAUUCCAGGUGUAGCGGUGAAAUGCGUAGAUAUCUGGAGGAACACCGGUGGCGAAGGCGACAUCCUGGACCGGUAUUGACGCUGAGGCGCGAAAGCCAGGGGAGCAACGGG
rnacentral:rRNA from 1 species